rnacentral:rRNA from 1 species
CGGACGGGUGAGUAACGCGUGGGUAACCUGCCUCAUACAGGGGGAUAACAGUUAGAAAUGACUGCUAAUACCGCAUAAGACCACAGCACCGCAUGGUGCGGGGGUAAAAACUCCGGUGGUAUGAGAUGGACCCGCGUCUGAUUAGCUAGUUGGUGAGGUAAUGGCCCACCAAGGCGACGAUCGGUAGCCGGACUGAGAGGUUGAACGGCCACAUUGGGACUGAGACACGGCCCAG